GUGGGGAAUCUUGCGCAAUGGGCGAAAGCCUGACGCAGCCAUGCCGCGUGAAUGAUGAAGGUCUUAGGAUUGUAAAAUUCUUUCACCGGGGACGAUAAUGACGGUACCCGGAGAAGAAGCCCCGGCUAACUUCGUGCCAGCAGCCGCGGUAAUACGAAGGGGGCUAGCGUUGCUCGGAAUUACUGGGCGUAAAGGGCGCGUAGGCGGACAGUUUAGUCAGAGGUGAAAGCCCAGGGCUCAACCUUGGAAUUGCCUUUGAUACGGGCUGUCUUGAGUACGGGAGAGGUGAGUGGAACUCCGAGUGUAGAGGUGAAAUUCGUAGAUAUUCGGAAGAACACCAGUGGCGAAGGCGACUCACUGGCCCGUUACUGACGCUGAGGCGCGAAAGCGUGGGGAGCAAACAGGAUUAGAUACCCGUGUAGUCC
rnacentral:rRNA from 1 species